rnacentral:lncRNA from 1 species
UGAGAAAACCGCAAUCCCAAAACAUAUUUCUGAAUUUGGACGGAGGACUAAAACAUAACACCUUUAACUUUCUUUAAUUUCAUUUUUUUAAUUAUGUAAUUAUUCCUCUGCAAAGUCACUCCUCCGUUUGCCACAUAAGUUUUUUUACAGCAACUAACGACAAUGAUGGUUUUAAAAUUAAAUUGAACAUAAAUGGUUUAAAUUGAAAAAAAAAAC